rnacentral:rRNA from 1 species
AUCCUACGGGAGGCAGCAGUGGGGAAUAUUGCACAAUGGGGGGAACCCUGAUGCAGCGACGCCGCGUGAGUGAAGAAGUAUUUCGGUAUGUAAAGCUCUAUCAGCAGGGAAGAAAAUGACGGUACCUGACUAAGAAGCCCCGGCUAACUACGUGCCAGCAGCCGCGGUAAUACGUAGGGGGCAAGCGUUAUCCGGAUUUACUGGGUGUAAAGGGAGCGUAGACGGCAGAGCAAGUCUGAAGUGAAAGACCGCGGCCAACUGC